AGAGUUUGAUCAUGGCUCAGGAUGAACGCUAGCUACAGGCUUAACACAUGCAAGUCGAGGGGAAACGACAUCGAAAGCUUGCUUUUGAUGGGCGUCGACCGGCGCACGGGUGAGUAACGCGUAUCCAACCUGCCCACCACUUGGGGAUAACCUUGCGAAAGUAAGACUAAUACCCAAUGACGUCUCUAGAAGACAUCUGAAGGAGAUUAAAGAUUUAUCGGUGAUGGAUGGGGAUGCGUCUGAUUAGCUUGUUGGCGGGUAACGGCCACAAGGCGACGAUCAGUAGGGUUCUGAGAGGAACGGUCCCCCANAUUGGAACUGAGACACGGUCCAAACUCCUACGGGAGGCA
rnacentral:rRNA from 1 species